rnacentral:lncRNA from 1 species
AUAAUCAUUGUCAACUGGGUUCUCUGCCAAAUGAUCGGCCAAUGCUUGCGCUUUCAUAGCGGUACGAGUAACGUACACAAUGUCGAAUUCUGUAAGUAAAAUCUGCCACUUCGCCAAUCUGCCUGUGGGCAUAGGUUUUUGAAAAAUAUACUUUAAAGGAUCCAUUCGAGAUAUGAGGUAGGUUGUGUAGGACGAAAGAUAGUGCUUCAACUUCUG